rnacentral:rRNA from 1 species
UGAGGAAUAUUGGUCAAUGGGCGGGAGCCUGAUCCAGCAAUGCCGCGUGCAGGAAGAAGGCCUUCGGGUUGUAAACUGCUUUUGUACGGAGCGAAAAGGUCUUCCCUAAUACGGGAGGCUGAUGACGGUACCGUAAGAAUAAGCACCGGCUAACUACGUGCCAGCAGCCGCGGUAAUACGUAGGGUGCGAGCGUUAAUCGGAAUUACUGGGCGUAAAGCGUGCGCAGGCGGUUAUGUAAGACAGAUGUGAAAUCCCCGGGCUCAACCUGGGACCUGCAUUUGUGACUGCAUGGCUGGAGUACGGCAGAGGGGGAUGGAAUUCCGCGUGUAGCAGUGAAAUGCGUAGAUACGCGGAGGAACACCGAUGGCGAAGGCAAUCCCCUGGGCCUGUACUGACGCU